UCCCUGCAAAGUGUUCCAGUGUCUACAGACGUUUUUGGCUCUGCUGGCAGCAAGUGCCCUCUCCUGCCCCUGGUUUUGUCACACACAGGGCUUUUCUUAGGAAAGGAGCCUUUACCAAAUACAGACCUGGAUUCUGCUCUGUUAGAGUUUGUCUGAUGCUUUCCAGAAGGUGAACCUCCACACAUCAAUUCUGCAGAAGGGGUUAGAGGUCCGCUAAUACCAUCCUUGCUGAAAACAGCUGUAACUUGAAGAACAGCAACAGCUGGAGGUCAAGCAGCUAUCAUCCCUGAAAUAGUUGCCUUCUCACUGGUAUUGAAACUACUACUUGUCAUCAGCUAGAUCACUUCAAAACACUCCCUGUACUAUGAAGAAACAAGUGGGCUUCCUGUCUCAGAAGACCAAUGUGAAGUGACAUGUUGAGGCAGUACUGGCAUUUCUAUCAUCACCAUUACCAGGGCUUGAGUUUAAGUAGGACAAAGAAGAUGGGAAAGGAGAUUUCUUCAGCUGCAAGAAGAGGAAACAGUAUCCUGGGCUGCAUUCAACAUAACUUUGCCAGGAGGUUGAUGAAGGUCAACCUCUACUCAGCACUGUUCUAGGAUCCCCAGUUCAAAAAAGAUGAGAACUACUGGAUAGAGUCCAGCAGAGAGCGACAAAGAUAUUUGGAGCCUGGAGCAUCUCUCUUGAGAAAAGGCUGAGAGACCUGGAACUGCUCAGCGUGGAGAAGACUGAUGCUUAAGAAUAAUAAUGCUUAAAAAUAUCUAGGGGGUGGGAGUCAAAUGGAUGGAGUCAAACAUCAAAACGGCAAGGCCAGGCUCUUUUCAGUGGUGCCUAGUGACAGGGCAAGGGGCAAUGGGCACAAACUAAAACGUAUGACAUUCCAUAUGAACAUGAGGAAGAACUUCUUUACUGUGUGGGUGACAGAGCACUGGGACAGGCUGCCCAGAGAGGUUGUGGAGUCUCCUUCUCUGGAGAUAUUCAAAACCUGCCUGGACACUUUCUUGUGCAAACUACUGCAGGGAAUUUGCUUUAGCAGAGCUGCUGGACUAGGUGAUCUCCUGACGUCCCUUUCAACACCUAUGAUUCUGUGAUUCAGGUGACACGGCUGCUUGUUGGAUAAAGUCACGGCAAUCCUCUGAUACUUUAUGAGAAAACAGUGCUGGAACACUCACUGGAGAUGAUCACAUAACUGAAUAAGAUUUUUGUUCGACUGUUGUUUGUUUAUGAACUCAUAUUGCAAGAUGUCAACAGUUAAUAAUCAUAUAAAAGCACUUUAAAUUAUUUGAGACUAAUUAUGGUUUUAAUGCCUCAC
ensembl:lncRNA